rnacentral:lncRNA from 1 species
AACAGGAAACCUAGUUGCAUUCCAUGUAAACCUGGUUUAUGUAUAUUUUGAGUUCACUUGGUUGCAUGGCAUUUUAUUUACUUGGGUUGCAUUCCACGUAUAUCUUGUUUAUGUAUUUUAUGGUACCAUGCACCUCCUUGCUUAAUUAUUUGUUGUUUUCACCAAUCUUUGCUUCAGAAAGCAAACAGACUGGCUAACAUAUAUAUGGCUGAAACCUGAGUUUAUCACUAAUGUUUCAGCUUAGCAAGUGGUAAACCUGAGUUUCAACUUAGCAAACUAAAGCUAAAAAUAAUAGACAGUUGAGCAGCUGUUAAAGCUAAAUAAGAUCUCAUCAGGAUGGCACUCUACUUUUACAUCACUGCUUCCUUCUUCUUCAGCCUGCAGUCUUUUCUUGUUAAGAAUUAUUACUCUUUGGGUUCAAGGAUAUUUCCCAAAGAAAUUAAAGGUUUUAGAUUUAUUGUGUGUGAGUAGGUUUAUGUAAAAAUCGCCGCAUUUCAGCUUCCAAUUCAUUCUUACAACAAUGUGAGUACAAGAUUUGGGUGAAACUUGAACCAAUAGAGGUAAUUACCGUGAAUUAGAGUGGAGGAUACAUUUAUGAGGGAGUCUCCAACGGACAGCUGAAAAGUGAAGGAGAGGUAAACGGAUUAAAUGAUUCAAAGUAAAAUGCUCAUAAAUAGCAAAUAGUUUGUUCAUCUAAUGGAAGAAACUCGUAAAGAGCUGGUAUGUUAUGAACAAUUUUUUUUUUUUACUUUCAAAUACUUCAUUUAUAUUAAAUACAAAACAUGCUAGUUUUUCUUUCGUAAAAAUAUUUGUGUAACGGCUUUUGAAUUUUGUUUGCAAAUAUUUAUGUAUUUAACAUAAAUUAAAUGAUUCAGAAUAAAAUGCCCAUAAAAACUUGGGUACUCCGUUCUUAUAAUGGAGGAAAGCCAUAAAGAACUAGUAUUUUAUUGAAAACGAGUUUAUUUUUAGUUUAUCCGAUAAAUAAAUUUGUUAGUAAUAUUUUUUACAUUAAAAACGGGUUUAUUUCUAGUCUUGGUUAGUAAUCGUCAGUCUUAUUCAUCAAAAUGGUAUUGGAAUGAUUUUUCUUUUAAAAAAAAAAGAUCAAAUGAUGAAAACUUUCAAUAUUAAAUGCCAGACGUCAUGCUUGUCAGUGCAUUAACUAUCAACAAAUAAAAUUUUAUAAACAUUAGGAUGGAUCAAGUGGUGAAGAAGUGAAGAUUGAGAUAAUCUAAUAAUUAGUAGUAAACUUGAGUUUCAGCUUAGCAAAAACACUAGCUGAAACAUGUACAAUGGCAUUUCCGGUCAAUAUCAAAAUCAUAUGUCAAGAAUACCUAAAAGAUACUACAACGACUUGAGGCGAUUUACAUGCAUGCAAGAGAAUCGAAGUCCAGUAAGAAAUUUGUUGUAUUAUUCACCUUGUGGGAAUGCAUAUGCAAUUGUUUUAGAAAUUUGUUUUGUCCAAAUAUUCUAUUUAUGGGAACAAGAAAGCUAAUUUUUGGACUUUGAUUUACAAAUAGAAAGGGCAAAUAUGUAAAGUUGUAUUCUCAUAAAAUCCUUUCUUUCCAUAUCUCUCCAACUCUCAAAUAAGAGAAAGAUAUUUCUUUUCUUUUUUUUCAUUAAGCUCCCAAACGAAAUAUGCAUCUUUUCCCUUCUCUUCCUUUCUUUCCUAAGCUAUCUUUUCUUUUCUUUUCUCUUCCUUCAUAAACUCCCAAACUAAGCCUAAAUCCGCCCCGGUCCACGAGUGUCGUUACCGUAUGAAAGAAAGGGAAAGAACGAGAAGAUUUUAACAAACUUUAGUAGGCUUUUAAUCGAAAUUUUGAGUUCUGGGAGGGAAGACUUUUUAGAGUCUUGCAGGCAUCCGCUGCAUCGCGAUAGUUGGCCUUUCUGAUACAGGCAUAUCAAAAAGGAAUCAAAUUGGAAUUUACGGUGGAAACAAGGUAGAUGCGCCAACGGCAGCUGGUGUUUCAUUUUCAUGAUGCAAACUGGGGAAAUGUUGGAGCAUUAUGCAUCCAUGCCAUUAGAUAUAUAGUGGGCUUGAUGUUAUACAAUGCAAAUUUUCUUAAAAAAAAACUUUAAAUCAAAAUAAAUCUUGACCUAUCAAUUAUUGAUUUAAGCUAUCAAAACAUUGGCAUGUAACAUGCAAAUAAGCGUUGCUCAUAGGGCAUCAUUCCUUUCCGUCUCACACGCAGAUUAGUCCAUUGGUGGUUCUUUCUUUCCUUUUUUUUUUUUUUUUUUGAAUAUUUGGUACAUAGAGGCUCCAACUUUUACAAGGAGAAGGAAAAAUAGGAGAGUUUAAGGGUCAAGACCUUACGGUCAGUCACCUAAAAGCAUCCGUGCCAAUUGAGUUGAGUUUUGGGAACAAAAUUUUGGCCUUUCCAUUAUAGCAGGAUACAACUAAAUGCCCGGAUUAAUUAACUCAAUUUCCAUAAAUUUAAAAAAAAGAGUAAGAAAUUGGUACCUCUGAUCAAUUCCAAGGGUAGAUAUAUAAUAUAAUUAUUAGUCCUUCAAAUGGAGACGAGUGUCAGUAGACUUAAAAGGAGUCCAUGAUAUUGAUAGUUGGUCUUUUGGUCACAAUAAUUAUUUCGAGAUGUUUGAUUCUUCGUAAUGUGGAAUAACUUUCCUCCAGACAUUCUAAAGAAACAUGAUGGAACAAGUUGCUGUUUGUGAGGUCGUAUUAAUCCUGGUGGGAACCUCUCUUGCGCAAGGAUUUUUGGGUAAUGAAUUGAUCUUUCAAGAAAAACGCUACUAUUUACAAAAACAAGUAUUUUUAUGUUUUUCUUCAUUUGUGUUCAAUUCAAUUCUCUAUAAUGUAUAUUAAUAGUACUAUUUAUCUAGAGGGAGCACCUUCAUGAAUGGACUAUCUCUAGAGGUUCUCCUUCACAUUUGACGCGCAGAUUACGCCAUUAGGCAAUUCGGGCGGCUGAGCGGUCAACACAAGGCAACAUCAAAACGUAAAACAGAUGUAAUAGAUGGGAGAAAUUUCUUUGAAACUCCAAAAUGUGAUUGUCGAGUAGAUUAAUGCGAGUCUUAUGAAUUGAUUACAUUUUCAAUCAAUUCAAUCUCCGGAUAAACAUGCAUGCUAUGCCCAAAUAUAGCUCUGUCCUGGUUUUCACGGUACAAGCACUUCUUCAUUCUCAAAGAAGUUAUUAGCAUACUAAAGAAAGAAAAGGACCUAAAAGGAAAAAAAGAAGAAGAAAAGGAUCUAAUUAUACUAAGAAUCACAAAAGUUAGGGGGUGCUUGGUUCAUGCUCCGAAUUGAAAUUGGAUACGGAAUGAAAUAUAAAAAAAUCAGUAUGGGUAUAAGCUCCUGAUAUCAUUGAAAUAACUACUGCUUGGUACAAUUUUUAGUGGAAUAGGUAUCAAAAUUAUUAUUGCAUUUUUGCCCUAUCUUUUUCUUUGUUGGCUUGCAAACAGAUAUAAGGAACUUUUUUUUUUCAAGAAAAUAUGCGAUAUCCAAUAUUAAAGAACAACAUAUAGUAGAAUUUGUAGAUUCACAUACCAAUUGAGGUUCAAUGACAAAUUAGAACAGCCAAAAUUGUUCAAAAUACAAAGCAAAUAACAACUUGGGAUCCGUUUAUCUCUAACGGCAGCUUGCUUAACAAAAUCCACUAGCAAGGAGGCAACGACCUUUUCCUUCAACAAUACUUAUUAAUGAAUCCAAUCUCCUUAGCAUUGCUGCAAAAGCAUUGUCUGCAGCACAUCAGGCCAUACUUUCUGAUAAUACCAUAAGAGUUUCCACACACACGGCAGGUGCGAGAGCCACAGCCGUGGUUCUUAGGAUGAGAAUUCCAGAUGUUGGAGUGUCCCAUCUCGAUAUCGUCUUCCUCUCUAUCAAGCUUUCAGCGGCUGCUAAUUUCUGCCAAAGCCAACCCUAAUUACUGAAGGCGGAGGAGGCAGAUUUAAGGAACUUUGUGUGGGGUGGCACCAGACUCAAGCCGGUGGGGUUUCUUUCUCAAGUUGAAGUUGAAUCCCUUGAGAUUGCGGCUGUAAAUUCGGACACUGAUUUAAACUCAGGGGUGAGGUUGUGCAGGAGGAGGAGAUGAGUGGUGGGAGUUGAUGGAGGAAGACUAGAGGGAGGAUGACUGAACGAGGAUGAAGGGGUAAGUGGAUAAAAAAAAUGUUUUAUUAAAUUUAUCUUGGAAUCAAAUAUAGAAAUUAACAAAACCCACCAAUUUACUCGGGAAUGGAGAGUUGACAACUUUUUAGAAUUCAUUCCAAAAUCUUCAAUCUCAUACCUAUUAUCCAAGCACUUAAAAUGGACAUCAUUCCAAAUUCCAAAUCCCAUACCCUCAAACCAAGCACCCUUUAGUUUGGUUGAGAAAAGAAAGUAGUACUUUAGAACAAAGGUAGACGAUGAGAUCCUCGAAAAAUAACAUAAUUAUGAAAACAUUUACUAUAUAUAUAUAUAUAUAUGAAGAACAACAUUUAUUUGGGUUGAAUCAACUAUAUAUACAUACAUAUAUAUAUAUACAUACAUAUAAUAUAUAUAUAUAUAUAUAUAUCUAGUAGUAGCACUAGAGGGAGGGAGUGCUCUAACAUUGAUUCGGACUAAAACCAAUCAUCUUAUUGGCAAGGUCGUAAGUGACCCGCAUCCCUUGCUGCUGUAUAUUCCCAAGUAGUGACGCGCCUUCCGAAGUGCUGGCAAAAGCCAAACAGUGCUUGCCACUGGUAUCAACACGAAACAAGUAAUUUGCAGGCCUCAACGGCAGCGUUUUGCCCCAGAGAAAUCAAGCGACAUCGUUGGAUAGCCGUCUGUGGGUUUGAGGAUAGAUCAUAGCAAGCGUCCAAUUUAAAUAUGCCUUCAGCGUACCCGCUCGUGGGAGGCAAGGCUUGAGCGUACUUAACAAACGUAUCACGGACCGAGUUAUAAACCUCAUCUGGCAACAGAGUUAUGGUGGUGCCCGAGUCAACUACAAUUCCCCCGCGUCCGUCUUGGCCUAUUUGGUAAGCUGAUGCCGGAAUGGGUACUUGUUCUCCAUUAAUGGUAAUCCCCGUGAGCUCCACGUAGUAAAAAAUCCCACUUGGAUUAAAAAUCAAAGGAACGAGGACUGAGUCACCAGGUGGAGCUGAGUUAAACUCAAGGGUCGAGGACUUGCCCGAGUCCAUAUCCACAAGACAGUAGGAGAAGGACGUGGCUUGAAUUUUAGAAGGAAAGCUUACAGGAGUGCCCCCAAGACCAAGUAUCCCAGACGCCCCCACGCUUUGAUUUGUAUGGGCGCACCGAUGGCUACUUUGUCAACCGAACCUGAACUUCCAAACGACACCGUUUCAGUGGCGAAUUCUCCCACGACGCUGGAUCCCUCUAAGUAGCCCGCUCUAAACAUACACGGGUCAGCAGUGCAAUUUCGGUUUUCGCCCAGGGAGGCACAUUCCUGGGAUGCGCAGGAUAAAAGACUAUAAGAUGAAGACCCAGAUGGGUCAAAGACCGAACCGGACACGCUAGAACAUCCAUCGCAGGGUAGGCAUUGGAGCCAGUUGAUUUGGCUACCCGUAUCCGCUACCAGGAGGAAUUCUUUUACUGGUUGGCCCACUCCGACCUGAGCUAAGUACGCUCCUCCAAAUGGAGUCAGCGUAGUUUCCAGGUCCUCCGGUUGGACUUGGGCGUCCGGUUUAACGUCAUGAGGGCGGUUGAAGGUGGAGAGAGCCCGCUCAAUUUUGGAGUUGAUGAGCUUGGCUCGGGCUCGGUCACUCGCCAGUCGGAGCGUACGAGGUCGGAGUAGUUGUUGUUUGGCGGCUUUAUGAUGGAUGAAUAAGGAUGUAGGGAGAGGGACAAAACGGAGGAGGUCGAGGUGGGCUGAGCUUUUUCUGUUGAGAAGAGCUGAAGUCUUUUGAAAACUGAAGCAGAGACUGCUUGAGGUGAAAAGGGACUGAGGGGGAAGAAGAAGAAGAAGAGGAUGAUGAAGAUGUUAAUGGAAGGAAAUGGCCUUUGAGCUUCUCGAGCCAUGUUUGUGGGUUUGGAGCAGAAGAGAAGUGAUGAGAAGUUUGGAACGAGCAAGGGUUUAUAUACACGUCGAUCUGCAUGGAGGGCAUGUGGUUAAUUAAUUUAAGACAUGGCUGCAUUCACAUUUUACAAAGGGUACAUAUACAUUUACUAGUCCUUCAAACGAAGACAUGUUCGGAGAAUGUAGAAUAACUGAUAUUCCUUGUUACGAGACAAGAGUCUAGAAGAAGAAUGAAGAGACCUUUUUUUUUCAAAAAAAAAAUUCUUUGAAGCUUAAUAAGGAAUUUUUAUUCAUGUUAAAUCCGCGAGAACAGCAUCAGACACCAACAGACCCUUCUUCCCUGAAGAAAUGAAGAGAAAAUUAAACAAGUAAUAAUGGUGGGUGCUAUGGGUUAAUAUAUGCAAGUAAUAAUUUUUCGUAAAGAAAUCAUCAAGGGUUUUACGUUAAAAAAAAAUCUUCAAAGGUUUUACAUGCAACGGAUCUUCUGUCCCACACUCUAUACCACUUUCUAUCUUACUUUGUAUUAUAUUGUCAUUUCUCUUACAUAAACAUCAUGUUUUAGUUCUUUUUUAUUUUCUUAAAAUCCAAUAACUAUUAAUUGAGUAAUACACAAAAUUUAACAAACUCAAAAAAUCAAAAUGCAUAAAAAAAUGAGAUUUUUAUGAAUUUUUUGCUGUAUUUUUUAAUUUUCUAUUAUAUAUUGCUUUUUUGAACUGUUAUAUUUAUUUUUAUUCAAUUAAUAGCUAUUGAAUUUUAAAGAAACAAAAAAAACUAAAAUAUGAUGUUUAUGUAGGAGAAAUAGUAAUAUAAUAAAAAGUGAGAUAGAAAGUGACAAAGAUUACCAGACAGAAGAUCUGUUGCGGAUUUUACAUGCAAAUUCUUUCCCCAAGAGUUGUGGAACACAAGGAAUUAUGUGGCUCUCUAAACUCACACGGUCCACAAUUUUACCUGCGUGGUCCGGGUCCAUCUCUAAGAAGAAGAGACAGUACAAUUGGAAUUUUUUUUGUAUAAUGAAUGCGAUGGCACUUUCUUUGAACAGAGAAAAAUCCUGCAAAGAGGCCAAUCACCAAAUACCGUAGACGUUCAUCUUGACACAUAAACCAUACUUGAAAUCAAAGUUGAAAAUUCAGAUAAUCGUGUUUCAUGCAGAAACUCCCUUUCGGUAUCGCAUGCAUAUUAGGCGACUAAUUAGCUGUCAACGGUACGCAACAUCAAAACAGCUGAUGUGGGACAGAAGAUCCGUUACGUACACAACAUCAAACAGCUGCACUUUUACCAUUCGUCAACCAAUCAGACCAUUUCGUCUUCUUGUCCAUUUGAUUUAACCUAGAGAAACUCUAGUCGUCAUUCGUUAAUGCUCUUUCUAGUUGUUUAAAUAAAGAAGAAACUUUAAAUUUUUGGUACACAAAAAAAAAAGAACAAAUGGCCUUAAUUUGAACUCAUUUAUCAAAAACUUUAAUUGUCUAGUCGCCAAAUCUGUAAAUGUAUAAUUGCUUCUACAUAUUUGUCCCUAGCCUAAACUUUUUAGAACUUUAAAAACAAAUUGUAUUGUACACUGAAACAGUUACAUGUCCUAAAUUAGAGUUGCCAAUGAAAGAUGGCCAACAUUCUAGUUUUCAUAGGAUAUUACACUUUUCUAUGGUUUUCAAUUAAUGAGAACCACGAGCCCAACAUUAUGGAAUAGGGGUUGUAUCAAGGCACCGCACCAGAGGGCUCAUUGCAAUUGGAUAGAAUAUUCUGAUGCAGACUCGUUCGACCAGUCUGCAGGUAAAGCCUAUUGACUCAGUGGCGACUAGUCGAUCAAUCAGACAAACCAAAGAAGUUAACCUUCUUUGAUACCCAUUAAUCAGAGCCCACAAAGACCAGGACUUUUUUCUUGCCAAUUUUCGGUAAGGCAAAAACAAAGCAUUAAAGCUGGAAACAAAAAAAGAAAAUUUCCCCUUUUAUAGUUUUAUUAGGUCAAGCCAGGAGCAGGACUAGAAGAAAGAAAAUGUGUUUCUUCCAUUAAUUCUUCGCAACGUAAUUCUUCCUUUUAUGUGUACACUAAUUCUUCACCAGAUCGGCAGACCUUACGAGUUCCAGCUCGAUCGUGCAACGAGCGCAACUGAUAAAUCAUUACAGCGAAAACGGAGAGGAUUUGUCUUGUACGUAUACCUCAAUUGACAUGACCGAAUAUGUGUGGGAAAAGCUAGCUCAAGGAUUAAUCCAGCAAAAACAAUCAAGACUCAACAUAACUUACUAUCAAAUUAAAAUGAAGACAGCAGGGCUGAAUCCAAUCGGCCUUGUAUUAUUUUGCAAGCAUUCAUGUGGAAAAUGAAACAGCCAAUGGAAUGGAAUGGUCGUACAACUCCCUCCUUGCCAGAACUUUAUUCAUUCUAUAUCUAUCGACGAAAUACAUCAUAUAUACCCUGUUUACUAAUCGAAAGAACGAUUAUUUUUCCUAUCUAAUGUGUAUCUGAUCAUGUAUAGACGCAUGACUCAUGUACGUUUUAAAUUUUAUAUCUAUAACAUGUAUUUAAAUUCGUUAAUAUAUGCAUACGCUGUCAGUGUACAAAAUAUAUUUAUUAAAACAAAAUCUUUUAAUUUAUAAAUUUCUCAAGUUCAUUAUCAUGUUUUCAUGACUAAGUUAACCGAUGAAAAAAGGCACUCAAUUGACGGAACUUUUCAACAUAAGUAGAUAACGUCCCAACAGAAUUCAGCCAAAACUUUCGUCGUCCUCUCACGUGCCCGGCGUGUGGAUUAGAAGCAUUCAGUCCUUCGCGCCUUGCGCGUUAGCUUCCCACCUGGCCUCGUUGCCAGUGUCCCAUGUGCUUCUGCUGCAUUCUCUCUUCCCGCUGCCUUCUCUCUGCAGCUUCUCUCUCUCUCUUUCUUCUGUCAUUCUUUUCCUCUUUUCUCUUUCUCUUCUUCUUUCCACAACAAUGUUGCUCUGUCCUCUCAAUUUCUCUCUCCUUUCCUCUAGGGUUACGUACAUCCUCAUACUUUGUCCAUUCGCUCCUCCUCCUCCUCCGUCGACACACUGUCUCCCUCUCCUCUAUCGGCUCCUUUUCUACCCAGCAUCAGAGGUCCGCUUUCUUCCACUGGCCCUGGGAUUCCCCUUUCGCCUCCUUCUGCUUCAAGUUCAGCCUCGCUGUUCCCUUUUUUUUUUUUAAUACCAUUUCUCCUCCACCGCCACACCUUCUUCCUCUCAUUUAUCUCUCAGCCUUUGGGAGGCCUUUCAAUUCCAUAGCAAGAUCCUCGCCAUCAUCGGCAUCUCUCACUGCCUUUCCUCCCUAGAUCUCCAAACCCUCCGGACCCAGACCCUCGCCCUUUAUAGGCUCGGCUCCUCCAGAUCUCCAGACCAUCCUUGCUUGGAGGAAACAGAGAAAGAGAACAAUUAAAGCAUCUUCCUUUUCCCUUUUUCCUAACCCUAAGCUGACCCGCCUUUCAUCCCCGCCGCUCUUCUCACACUUCCUCUCCCUUUCCUGCCCUUUCUUCUCCCUAUCCCAUCUUACUACGUAUAGUUUACUUCUUUAUUCACCGCGCACCCGAAUUCGAGUAUAAUCCUCCUUUGCCGUCCAAAACAACCUGUGGGAAGUUGGAUAAAGGUUUGCCUUUUUUUUUCCUCAAUCGGUUUUUCAUACUCUGUUGUCUUAUCUUACGAGGUAAUGGGUCUGGAUUUGAAGCAGGUGCAUCAACGAUUGUAAGAUUUUUCUUGGUUGGGUCUUGUCAUCAGAUGCGUAAAAGGAGAGAUGGGGUUUAGUAGCUGUUUCAGUGCAUUUGGUUCUUGCAAGGGACAAAUAAAGCACAUGUGCCAUGAGGUAAGAACCAAGAAUAUUUCAAUUUUUAGUUUAGGCUUGAAUGGAGGUUUUUCUCAAUUAUUGCUAAAUUUGAGCAUGGUGAUAAUUUUGUUGAUUGGAUUUAACAGUUUACGAAUAAGUAAUUGAACCUGAAUUUAUGUUUCCCGAUUUCCAAUUUUCAACUCUAGAUAUUCCCUAGGCAAUCACAACCUUCAAGCUUCUCAUCAUAACUAUGCGUCCUUAGGAAACAUCUGUUUUUUCUAACUUGAUAAGUGGAGUCGAUCCAUGUAUUCUUAAGGUAGCUAUGUUACCCAGUUUAGAGUUGUUUGGUUCAGAAAAAGCUCCAAAGUCAGGUUUCAAUUUGAGCUUAAUCUAAGCGGGACAUAAGUGCCUUUAGCGGCUCACAACUUAGAUAACAGUUUCAGUUCAAAGAUAUAAGAACCUGAAUUUUUUUUGUGAGAUUUAUACUGCAUAUUUUAGGAUGGGUGUUAUGGUUUCAUCUGAAUAGUGCAUAUACUAAUCUACAACUCUUUUCCAUGAUUUUGUAUAUGAUCACUUCUGAUUCUCUGGUUUUCUAUCUGCUUCUGCAUGGUUAGAGCUUGCUACCAGCAAUGUUAGGCUAUUCUCAUACAACUCUUUGAGGUCAGCAACAUGACACUUUCUCUCCUCAAACUAGAAUAGGAGGCGGCAGUUUUGGAGUAGUAUACAGGAUAUGAUCAAUCUUAGUUUGUGUGUCUGCAUAAGUUUUACUUUUAUGGCAACUUUGAUUCGGGAGUAUAUAUAGAGGAGAGGAAUGAGGAACUAAGCUAUUAUGGUACCUUACCAAUAUCAUUCUUAUGUUCGUCCUCCUCAAUUUGUUAGCUCUUCAUAGAGGCUCUUAUCCAGUUUUUUGUACUUUUACCUUCUUGCAUCUCACCUUAAAAUUACUUGUUAGAGAAUGAAACAUGGUGCAAUGAUAUUGACAUGUGUGUAAUUCCUUAUGAGCUGGUGGAUUAAAACUUCUGUUGGCUAUUGAAUAAGAUGAGUAAAUUUCUUAUAUCAAGAAUUCAACAAGAAUGAAACAGGCAGACCUUGAUAAUUGUCUACUAUAUGAUGGUUUAUAUGUGUAGAUAUGCAUUCAAGUGUCAUCGAAAAUCUGGAGCUGGAAGGGACAUUGUCUACCCCAUUGAAUUCAAUUGCAUUUCAUCUUAUAUAAGUGGUGCAUAUACAUUUAUCCACAAUAAAGAGAUUAUUGUUCAGCAGUCAUUCAUUGGAAGUUGGAUUGUAUGGCCUCUUUUUUUUUUUUUCAAGUUUUGUUAAGAAAGAAAAUCAAUGCUAAGAUAUUUCACUAGUGGAGCUGGAUCUAUUACAAUUUUCUAUUGAUUGAAUAUCUUUAGCCUCUUCUUGUAAUCUAUCUCAAAACUGAUUUAAAUAUGCAGCUAUGGUACAUUUGCUACUGGGGGUUGUGAUGGUUAUGUUAGUGUGUGGGAUGGAAACAACAAAAAAAGGCUGUAUCAGGUACUUUUUCCACACUGAAUUUGAAAUGUCUUCAACUUCAUGCUGACUGUAGACACCAAAUUUUUGGUGUAAUUUCUUUUACUUUUUAUUCUCAUUUAUCGUGGUUGCUUUUAGUUUUUUUUAGUUUCUAGUUUCUAUUUUUAUUUUUAAGUUUUAGCGUAGAAAAAUCAUGAAAAAAGAGAAAAAGGAAAAUUGUUCACAAAAUAGGUUUAUUUCUUUUUAAAUUCAAUCUUUUGACUUUAUUUAUUUUUUGGUUAGGUUAUUUCGAAAACAAAAGAAAAGUGAAAAAUGAAAAUGAAAAAUGGAAAUUUGCAUUUUUUGUUGUUUUUAGUUUAUUUUUAUCUAAUGUUAAUUAAGUUGUUUUCAUCAUUAAUUAUUAUUGUUUUAUUAUUAUCAUUUUUGUUGUUUAAUUAAUUAAUUAAAAAAUAAAAAUAAAAAUAACAUUUCCAUCUCUGCCGGAGUGCAUUCCCUUCCCUCGACACACACACUCAACCUCCACUACCGCGAAUCACUCCACUACCUCAGCCUCAACCACAAACACUCCAUCUCCAUUCUCCACCUCGUGAUCAUCGACGAGAGCAAGAGAGGGAGAACUCCUCGGAUUGAGCAGGAGAAAGGUGAAGAGAGAGCGAGCCGCGAGCUGUAUUUCUGUUCUGUCCGAGGAAGUCAAGCGAGAGAGAGAGCAAGAGGCAGUCGAGUGAGCUACUGAUCAUCACCAUCUUCACCAGUUCCAAUCGAAACACCACAGCUUCAACCAUCCGCAACCAGGACCAACACAUCCAACCGCGAGCGAGCAGAGAGGAGAGAAACAUCAGCUUUCUGUCGUCUGAGUGAGCUUUCGGUGAGCUACAACAACACCCUCUACCUUGGAAUCAUCGAAGUGAGGAAACCAGCGAGGGAGAGGGAGCUGCCAUUCCAUUUUUCACCCUCAACUAGCCGUGAUCAAUUCAGUCACAACCAUUACAGCUGCAACCACUGAAUUCAGACUAACCAUCCUCGCGUGCGUGAGCUGCCGAGAGGAAAAAUUGCAGCUGCUGUCCGUGUGAGCUUUUCAUCCAUUUCCUUUCGUCUGUAAACUAGAAAGAGAUUGGGAGCCAUAUUGUCUUCAUACUGGUCGCAAGCUAGAGCAAGGGAGAAGGAGAGUUGCGGACUGAAAUUCUGGACAGCCGAGAGUAGAGGAUUUUUGCAGCUGCUAGUUGCGUGAUUUGAGCCUUAAGCUGAGGUAAUUUCUGGACUUAAGCUAGUUGAUUAUGGCUUGAUGAAGUUGUUUAUAAGCAUGCAUGUGAGAUUGUGUGGCUAGAUGAUAGUUUAAGUCACAGAAAAAUCUGUUUGAGAAGGAAGUGAAGCUGCCGAGAGCUUGAGCUGGAAGUUUCGGUUUUUUUUUAAUUUGCUAGUUGUGAUGAUCUGAGCUUAAUUUUGAACUCAACCUGCUAAAUAGUUCUUUAUUUGGUACUGCAUGUGAACGUUAUGGGCAGGAUUUCGGUUGCAUGGCUGGAUUUUUUUUUAUUGGAAGUAUUAGACUGCUAAACUAAUUUUCCAGCUUUGCCGAGAAGCUGAAAUGGAAAUGCAAUUUUAAUUUCGUUCCCCUGAGGCAGGCUGAGCUUAUAAAUGUGAUUAACUAGCUAAGAAGUAGGUGAUUAAGCUUUGCAUGAAGUUCAUUAGUUCGGCUAAGCAAGGAAAAAAAUAUGAAACAGAAAACUGCUACAUGCAAGUUCAUCCGAGGGUGGUGAACAGAAUUUCUGGAAUUGUGGAUGAUUAUAGUUGCUGACCGAACUUGAUUUGAACUAGUUAUGAUAGUAAUUUCAUUAAGUAGCCUUGCAUGUUAGUUUUGAGUACUUAGCACAAUGAUUCAACCGAGGUAAAUUCGGAUUUAAGACCAACUACCUGCUGGAAAAUGCAUAUUCAUUUUUUGCUGCACCAGAAAUUUACGGUUGUGUCUUGCUAUUUUCUUCCAUUGCGGUUCCAAACUUUGCUGUUUUUGUUAGAUAGUAAUUCCAGCCUUGACCGAAAGUUGUAGUUUGUAUGCAUGAGAAGCUUAACAGGAUUUUGAGCAUGGGUUUGUGAUUCGAAAUGCUUGAGUGCAGCUUCCAUGCGAACUGCCUAAGCUCAAAAGAUUUGUUUGCUGAAGUUUCAAACCUUUGAUGUUUUGCUAAUUUUUCUGUUUGAAUGAAGUUGCUAAUUUUUCUGUUUGUUUGAAUAAAGUUGCUAAGUUUUCUGUUUGUUGGGUCUGAAUGAAAUUGGUUGGUUUGGAAAAUUUGAUCACGGUUGUGAUUAAGAAGCUUGAGCUUGAGAAGAAAGUGCAGCAGUCUUCGGUUGCUAGAGUAUGUGAAGUAAUUGCAGAAACUUGUUUCAUGGCUAUUGCAUAGAACUUGCAUGUUUUUUCCUUCUAAAUUUUCUACCUGUUGAGGCGAUGGUGAUGACAUAGUUUGCAGCUUAGUUAAAGCUAUGUAUGUGAGCUUGAGAUCUGUUUUUUUUUGGAAAAUAAGAUGUGAGUUUGAAUUGGGUUUCGUUUGAGCAAACAUGAGAGAAAAUAUUGCAGAAACUCACUUUGAAUUUGAUUUACCUGUUUGUUUGGUUGUUAGAUUCAUGCUUUAAUGUGUUGGUUAGAAGAUUUUUCGAUCAAAAUGGUGUUAAGGUUGAGAAAAUGAAAGUCACGGUUGUCUUCUGGGUUGCCGAAAGCUUUCAGCAGAAAUUUCUGCUGCAGAAUGUUGUUUCUCAUGUUGAUUUUCACGUAGCUUGCAUGGGUUUUGCAUGAAAUAAUUUCUGAAAAUUACAUUUUUAACCCCCCAAGUCCCCUCUUGACUCACUAGGGCCCAAGUAAUUGGAACAUUUAAUCAAUUUGAUCCUUUUAAGUUUCUUUUUGUUCCACAAGAGCCCAAGCAUGUUCUAGUAUCUUGUAAUUAAGUCCUAAAAUCAUUGCAACUUCAAUCUUUGUUUGACUUUUCCUUUAUUUUUAAGAUCUUUGAAGUGCUUAAACGAUUUAUUUGGACUUGAAUGUUCGAGUAAUGCUUGUUUUGGGUCUUUAGUAGAUGCUAUAUUUGGAAAUUGAACGGGUUAUUCCGUUUUCUUGGUCUUUAAGCAUUUUUUGAGCUCAUUCAAGUUGCAAUUAGGUGGUUUUUGAUGUUUUUGCUUAUACUUUACUUUUAAAUUGAUGCCUUGACCCCUUUAUUGUUUUGAAGCCAUUUUCCUUCAUUUGCUUACCAUUAGGGGAAGGUAUAACUUUCUUUUAUCCUCUUUUUCUCUCUUACGUGCUCCUACGUGUUACGUGAAUUGCAUGUCUACUUGGCUUUCUUAAGUUUUUUUAAUUCCUUUCAUUUUUAAGUCUUUCUUUUAUUUAUUUUGGGGUAUGUGUACACCUCUUGGCUUGUAAUAGAUAGGGCAUUGGAGAGCACUUUGUCCAUUUUUCCCCUUCCCCCAUUUGUUUUAGUUAGUGUAAUAGUUUCAUUUGCUUUUGGUAUUAUGUGUUUAUGUGUUAAUUUGCUUUAUUAAGCUAUUGCAUCUAGUCGAGCAUGCUAAGUGUUAUGUGCUACGUGUUAUAAGUGAUUUUGCAUGUCUACUUGCUUUCUAUAUUUAUAAAUGAAUGUGAUGGAUGAAUGUACGUUUCCACUAGUCCAACGCUAGUCGGAAUUCAUAGAAUGGGCUAGUCCAACGCUAGACCCUUAGGGACUUCCCCUCGUUAGUACAUGUUUGCAUGUUCAUUACAUGUCAUGCAUUUUUUUUAAUUUUAUCAUUUUGCAUGCCCCUCGAACCCCUUUUCCCUCCAUUUUAGGAUUUUUGCAUUUCAUGCUAGUUAUAGGGUUCAUCUGCUUGAGGGUCCCCUUAAAUAUGGGAUAUAGACGAGUGUGGCUUUUUCUAAGCCUUAGCACGCUUGUAUUCCCUCUAUAAAAGGGCAAAUUGAGUCACGAUUUAGGUCUCCCCGUACCCAAUAUGCAUGAAUUCCCUAGGCUCAUGCAUUUUCAAAUCCACUCUACCAUUUUAUACCCUCAUCACACUUUCAUUUUUCCUCCCAUUUUGCACACGUGCACCUUUAUUUUUCUUCACUUGCACACGAACACUUUUAUCAUCACUUGCACACAUGCACUUCAUAUUAUCAUUUCACAUACCGUACCUUGCCCACUCACGUGCACAUUUUCAUUUACAUAUUUAUUGUUUUUUAUUACUUUUUCAAACUCAUGUCCUCACAUUGCAUACAUGCAUUUCAUUCAUUUGCAUCUCACUCGCAUUAUUCGUGACCUCUCCAAAGGGUCAUUAUUGGGCUUCACAAUUAAUGUGAUUGGCACCAUUCAACCUUUGAAGAGAAAUUUCCCCAAUACCCCUAGGUCUAGGGUUUGCAUUCAUAUAGUACAUCCAAAUGUAAUAAAUUCUUUGGUUAAAACAAGAAAAUAUUUGAUUAAAUCACGCAACUAGCCUUGGCUAGGUCGAAGGGGUGCCUUGGAUUUUUAUCCUUGCCUUCCCCUUCGUCAAAUGUGACUCCCGAACCUUUUUCGUUGGUUUACGUGGACUAGGAGUCGUUUAAAAGGGGUUUCUUAAUAUUUUUCCUAUUUUUCUUUAAAAAUUCAUUUUUAGGUGACUUGGUACACCUUAACUCAUUACCAAGUGGCGACUCCGAUUUUUUAUUUCAAAAACCCUUUUUAAACUAUAAUUUUGGGUCAAAUCGUCGCAUUUUCAAACCCCCAUUUAGACCCAUUUUUCUUUUAAAUAACAAUUCAUUUUCCAAUCACAAAUUGAAUCAAAAAAUACAUCUUUCUCAAACCAUUUAUUUAUUUUAUCAAAAAAAAUGGGGCGCGACAGUUUGGUGACUCCACUGGGACUUCCUAAGUGGGUCCGAGCAUUUUUGAUUUAACCAUUCUUUUUCCUUUUUCUACCCUUUUUAUGAAUUGCAUUUGGAUAUUAGGGUUGCAUUUUUCAUUUUUAGGACUUUUUGAUUCGCUCACGUAUCAAGCUCCCUCACUCACGUAUGUAUGAUUGGAUGUUUGAAUGAAUGUUUAAUUGUUUAUACCGCGCGCUUGUCAUUGCACUUGGGGGGGUGUGUGUCACCCUUAGAGCCACGCAUUGGUUCUCGAUCCCUCCCCUCCAAAAACGUGCACUAUCAUACGCGCAUACGCUUUAUUAUUCAUCCCCCUUUAUUUUUCUUUUUAGUGGCUUGUCACGCCACUCCACCCUAUUAGGAUUAGGAGACCCACUUGGACGUGUGAUCGUGACACGACGUGUGCGUAGCACGAUCCAAUGGGUCACUCACUCUUCCGCUUUAAACUUUGGGUUAAUAUCCUUAGUUUUUAGUCGAAGGUUGAGGUUUUUUAUAGAUUCACUCAAACAUGCGGCCGUGACACGACGUGUGCGUAGCGGUGUUUGGGGAAUCGCUCGAGCCACCGACAAAGGGCCAUGGAAUUGAUGACCCUUGGCCCUAAGUCUGAAGGCUUGGGGACCUGAGCUUAUCGAGUUAGAUGCAUUAGUGAACCCCAACCUCAUGCAUCCAUAUAGUUCACCUAGGGUAGAGUCUGCUUACCCUAUUAGGGACACCAUUCACGAGGGGAGGGAUCCCACCCUUUUCCUUAUUUACUUUUCCUACUUUUUAUAUCAUUUAAUUGUCCAACGUGUUAUGUGAUUAUGUGUUGAACUAACUUUCCUUGUCUCUUGCCUUUGCAUUCACAAACGUUAGGAAAUAAGAGGUCGGGCAUGACCUUCUUUUAGGACAUACCCUUAUAGAUAGGCUAUUGCAUGUUUAAAAAUUGUGGUAUAUUUCGUUCAUAAAUUAAUAAUGCCAUACCAUUUUAGGCCUACCCUGGCAAAUAAAGGGUUCCUUAGGUCACGUUUCAUUUCGAAUUGCAUAUUUACAUCGCUUUAAUAAAUGGCAUCAUGCAUAAACCCUAGAAAGGGAAUGCCACUUAGGGAAUCCCGCGUUUAGGAAUAAGCCACCUUGUGUCUCGGAUACUUAAUCCAGUGAGACUUGCACGUUUACAUUUUGUACCAUCCAAAGGGGUAGUGCACAAGGUAAGGUAGGAUCCGAUCAUUUUCAUAGAGUGAUCUUUGGAAUAUGAGCAUCUAAUAAUCACUUUUUGGCCCUUUUAUCAAAAAUUGGUAAAAAUCCCUUGCGUGAAGGACAUUAAUUUGAAGAAAUUCACAAAUGAUUCCUCCUUUUGAGACGAUAAAUAAAUUAAGACCAAAAUUUGAUUUUUAGAAGGUCAUAGACUAAUGCACUUCAAUGAUUUUUGAAAUAACCAAUGGCCGGGCAAUUCAACCAAUCCAUUUUGCCAAUUCAUUCAAUAAAUCAUCAAUUCAUUUGACCAAUUUACCCUUUUUAGGGUCACCUGGCCGAUUUUGAAUAAAUCGUUAAUUUAUUUGACCAAUUUAUCCUUUUUAGGGUCAUCCGGUCAAUUUUGAAUAAAUCGUCAAUUCAUUUGACCAAUUUCCCCUUUUUAGGGUUAUUUGACCAAUCUACCCUUUUUAGGGUCAUCCGGUCGAUUUUGAAUAAAUCGUCAAUUCAUUUGACCAAUUUACCCUUUUUAGGGUCAUUCGACCAAUUUUUGAAUAAAUCACUAAUUCAAUUUCAUUCAUUUUGCCAAUUUACCCAUUUUUAGGGCAACCGAGCCGAUUUUGAAUAAAUCAAGUUUCGUUCAAUCUAUUUGAUCAAUUUACCCUUUUUAGGGUGAUCUGAUUAAUUUUGGAUAAAUUAAAUUUCAUUCAAUUCAUUUGACAUGUUCCCCUUUUUAGGGUAAUCUGGUCGAUUUUAAAUAAAUGAUCGAUUUCAUUCAACCCAUUUGACCAAUUAAGGUUUCAAGAUCGAAUUUCAAAUUGGGAAACCUAGUCGGUUUUAAGAAAACCGUCCACUGCAUCCAGCCAUUUGAUCAGUUGGGGUUUUGACGCCGCUUUACUGAGGAAAUUUUGUCAAACGAAUUCCGGUCUCUUCGAUAGGAAGUUUGUCAAGGUCAAACCUGUGCGUUUUUACAAAUUCUUGUAUCGAUCAAAAGUGAUCAAUCCAUUCGGACGUUGACCUCAUUUUGACAAAGUGUCUCUCGUCACUCCAAUUGGCCAAAAUUUUCAAAUUAUUUUUCACUCCAUAAGCUGAUUGGAUCCAUCAGGUAUGGUAUAGUGCCUACUCUAGAGGGUUGCAUCCUCAUUCUAGGCCUACCCUUGGCGCAAAAAGGGUUCCCCCAUAGGACAUGCAUCCGAAUUUUCUGGAUAUUUACUAACUCUUGCCUUUUUCUUUUUUUUUCUUUAUUUCUUUUGUAAUAACUAAGCGAGGGUUAAAUCUAAAAGCAAUCUUUUCAAAAUUCUCAGGUAAUAUUUAAACAUAACUUCUCGUCGAAGCCCAUCAUAACGCGAUCCCGUAGUCAAGUCCAAAGGAAUCGUGUAAACAUGAGUUCACAACCAGAACAGUCAGACAGGUCUGCUACUACCGCUCAACCCGAGACUGCAAGUUUGGGGAUUCAGUUGACUGAGAUGCUUACCAAGUUUGGAGAGAUGGCGUCUGAGAUGGCCGCCCAAAGGAAGUUGAAUGAUGAGCUAAUUAGCAGCGGAGUUCAACCCGAACCUGUACCCGCCAGACAGCCUGAGCAAGAGACAUUUGUCCUACCUUCGGCCCACGCCACUGUUACUCCAUCAUUCCCUAUUGCACCCGAAGAAACUUUCACCUGUCCCACCACAAAUUUGCCAUACACUUACCCUCCUCAUCCUUCAUUUUUUCUUACUCACAUGCGAGGUCCACAACCCCAAAUCACUUCAAAUAUACCACGUGAGCCACAUACCUUUUAUUACCCUGCUGCUGAGAGCCAUUCUUACCAGACCAUAUUGUUCAAACCAAGGCAGAAAUGGGGGAAUCUUCUGCUCCCGUUGAUAUAAAGCUGCUCAAACGCCUUGAUCGUUUUGAUGAGUUUAUGAGGAAGAGUCAGGGGUUGAACAAGCAAGGAGUCCUGGACUACGAUGAGCUUUGUCUCUUUCCCAAUAUGCAAUUGCCCGAGGGGUUCAAAACCCCUAAGUUUAACAAGUACGAUGGGACGGGUAAUCCCAAGACACACCUCCGACUAUUUGCUAACAAGUUGGGAAAGCCUGUAGACGACGAGAACCUGCCUCUAAGGUUGUUCCCGGAAAGUCUGGAGGGGGAUGCCCUCAACUGGUACUCAAAUUUGAAGUCCGAAGAAGUAAAAACCUGGAUUGACUUGUCCAAUGCUUUUGUAAGGCAAUAUGAGUAUAACUGCGAGCUGGCUUUGACACGAACCACGUUGGAAGGAACAAAAAAAGAAAACCCUCCGAGGAUCACAAGACUUAUGCCAAGAGGUGGAGGAAAAUAGCUGCAAAAGUCGAGCCACCAAUGACGGAGGACGAAAUCAUACGCACUUACAUUAAGGCACAUGAUCCGCCGUACUUUGAAGAAAUUUUUCGCAUGACUGGAUGCUCAUUUGCCGCAAUUGUUAAUAAGCUUGAGGAAUUUGAUGAUUUCGUGAAGGCUGGAAAAAUUGUUAAUGUGUCUGCCCUAAAAACUCAAGUGGAAGCUUUGCAAAGCCAAGGAGGUAAUGGGAAGAAGCAACAAUUCAAAAAGCAAGAGGGGGAAACUACCUUCACCUGGAGUCAAAACCCUGUCCCAAGACCCAGACCUCAACAAUACCCUACCUACUCAAACCCUUACCCCUACUACUCAAAUCCUCGUCCUGUUUACCACACCAAUAUCACCCAUCCUCGACCUCGCCCAAAUUAUGCCAACCCGCCUACAACUCCUUUCCAAAUAUUUCAACCAAGGUUUCAACAAACUCGUCCUCGACCCCCUUACCACCAAAGAUUUUCCCCACCAAAUAGACCCAUCUACAACUAUCCCCGACCCACUGAAACCUACCAUCAAAGUCGCACCCGAACUUUCACCAACCUAGGCAGGCCUUUAGACCAAUUGUAUGAGCAAUUGAAGGCUGCCAACAAAAUAGGCGUGAUUCCCCCUCCAAUUUACCUUCAUGGCAUGCCUGCUGGGUACAAUCCACAUGCUAUUUGUGCCUAUCAUUCGGGAGUACCUGGCCACUCAACCGCCGAUUGCAGGGCACUUAAGCACAAAAUCCAAGACAUGAUCGAGGCAGGGGAAAUAUUGCUAAAGAAAAGAGGUGAACAAGGGCCGAGCAUAAGUACAAAUCCUUUCCCUGAACACAAGGACACUUUUGAAGCAUCCACUACAAAUGACGAAAUUUGAAAAUCCUGAAGGAAUUCUGCGCAAUUUGGAUGGCUAACUAUCUUCCCUCACAAAGGGAAUUUCGAUAAAUUUAGGGGUUGUCAUUUACUAAAGUUCACGAAGACUUUUUCUUGCAUAUGUAAAUAGUUUCAUGAAAGCGUUUUUUUUUUUGCAAUCAAGUUUUGUUUUGUUUCUGCUUUGAUUUGGAGUUUCAUGAAAUGCUCAUUUUGAUUGUUUGUUUGUCUGGUUAUGAUUCUGAUUUUUGAGAGGGCCAAAGGUGAGGUUAUUUGACUCUUUGAAUAUCACUGUUCUGGAAUUUGAUGAAACCUUUUAUUGGAAAUUCCUCCAUUAAAAAGCCCUCAUUGAGAAUGCCUUCAUUGAGAAAUCCUUCAUUGAGAAAGCUUUCAUUGAGGAAAACCAUUGAAAAAUCCCUUCAUUGAAAAUCGCUUCACUGGAAAAAUCCCUUCAUUGAUGAAUCCCUUCACUGGAAAAAUCCUUUCAUUUGGAAAUUCCUUCAUUGAUAAAUCCCUUCAUUUGAGAAAAUCCCUUUCCAGCCAGGUUGAAAGUUGAUUGGUUAAAGCAGUAUCAUUAACGAUUGAUUCUGAUUAAUGGAAAGCAGUUGAAUGCUAUAUACCAUGACUAAUUUUGUCAAAAUUCAUGGCCUAUGUUCAUAACAAAAGGAUCUGCCACCGAUCUUCUGAAAAAGGAAACAAAGUGCUAAAGCGAUGAAAGAUGAAGUCGAAGGCAAAUUUGCUUCAAAUUGACAAAGCUUAUUGGGUGUUCAAAGGAGGGAUGGAAGGACAGACAUUCCCUCAACCUAUCAACUCGGACAUGUGUAAGAAAUUCUUUAUUUGAUUACGCAAAUUUCUUUUAGGAAAUCAAGCAAGAGACGAGGCAAAAGUCAGGCCAUCUUCUUUUCCAAUUGAAUCAAAAAAUACAUUUUUUAAACCAUUUAUUUAUUUAUCAAAAAAUGGGGUGCGACACUGACAAUGCUCACUUUAGUACAAACAUUUAUGUUUUUCUUUCUUUUCUUCAGUCUCAUUCAACUUACAGUACUCAAAAUACCCAGCAAGCCAUGUUGAAGACGUUGAGGGAAAAUAAGGACCGAUUUGACUUAGUAAUUAGGGAUGUUCAUAUGCCUGACAUGGAUGGCUAUAAGCUUUUGGAGCUUGUUGGACUUGAAAUGGACCUUCCUGUCAUGAGUAAGCAAACAAACUUUCUCUUCUAUGUCAUUCGAGAAUGUUAUGAUUACUCCUUUCUGGAAUGCAUUUGGGAACAGGAAGCAUGUCAUUUACUUAUCUGCAUUAUUUUGGCAUUAUUUGCUCAAAUGCGUGAAGUAAGAACGUUUUACUAUUUUGUCUUUCAAAAUAUAUGCAUAUUGAGCAUUUGGACAUUAUGUUAUAGAAACCCUUUGAUCAUUCCAUAUGAAUUUCUAAUACUUCCUUGAAUUCUGCCAGUGUUAUCAGCAAACAGUGAUCCCAAGCUUGUAAUAAAAGGGGUCAUGCAUGGUGCAUGUGACUUUGGUGAAACUUGUUCGAAUUAAGGAGCUGAGGAAUAUUUGGCAACAUGUUAUCAGGAAAAAGAAGUUUGAUACCAAGAAACAAGGCAAGUCUACUUAUGAAGACAAGGCUGUUCAGGGAAAUAGAGAUGUCUGUCACGGGCAUCAGAAUACAGGUAACAGAGAUCAGAAUGGGAAACUUAAUAAAAAGAGGAAGGAUGAAGAAGAUGAGAGUGAAGAUGACGGACAUGAUCAUGAAGAUCCAGCAACACAGAUCUAGCCUAACUUUGUUAUUUUGUUACUGGUAUGGUUUCUUUUGGGCCUUAUGCAUCAAGAAUUGCAUGUUAAUUAUUCUAUUCAUGUAUCUUCUAUGGUCCUGUUCCACAACAUCAUGACAUUGUUACUUUAUAUUGCAUUAUCUUGAAAGCAAGCUAAUCUUUGCUUCCACAAAUUUUACCUACAGGUUGAUAAUAUGAUUAUUAGGAAGAGGAUUCAUGUUCGCGUAGAGCAUGUUCAGCCUUCUCGAUGCAAUGAGGAAAUCAAGCAUAGAACAGAAAAAAUGAUGAAUUGAAGGCUGCAGCAAAGGCAAGAGGUGAGGUCAACAACACUAAGAGGCAACCUGAAGGCCCCAAACCAGGUUUCAUGGUAGAAGGUGCAACUUUGGAGACUGUAACUCCAAUUCCAUAUAAUGUGGUCGAUCUCAAAGGGGGUUACUAAGUUUGUACUGUGCUGGAGUUCUCUCUGUUUGUUUAUCGCUUAAACAAUUGAAGACUAGAAAAUCUGUUUUUCCUCUCAUAGCCUUCAAAUUAGUGCGGAUUUGGUAUUUUUGUAAUAUUAGUAGAGGCAUUGGCCAUUGAGUUUUGUGUUUAAUGAAAGUAAUGUUGGCAAAAUGAUGAUGUGGUACCUGUUUCCACCAAUUUUUGUUUACGUGCAAUGUCAAUUUUGUUGCCCGCCUUGAGUGUGUGUUUUCUACGCGGGAUAUGUCGUAGCUUCUGUGGAAACAAAGUUCUUUAUACAUACACUCAGAAGCGUUGUUGUCGUCUUUAUAGAGUAUUUUCAGAAACAAAGUUCUUUAUACAAAUGUGGAUGGUGUAUAAUCUCCACAAGAAUGAGUUAAUUGAAUGGCUGCCUGGGUUUUCUACUAGGAAAGAUGAAGGUAAGUGUGGUAGGGAGACCAAAGAAAUGGCUAUGAUGUCGUACAUGAGACGUAGAUACAAUUUAUUGUCAUUUCUCUGCAAAUGGUUUUCAUAUGCAAAACAAAGUAUGGAACAGACAUAACUCCAUAGACUACCGGUUUAACUCCAUAGACUACCUGUUUAAGGAUCCAUUCCUUUCAGAUUUUACUAAUAAUUCGCAUACUUUUUCUGCAUAAAUUACAAUUUUUAUUACUUCAUAUAUUUUAUUUUGCAUUGUAUACAAAAGUGGAUAGGGCAUUUUACAUUUCUAUCGCGCGAAGCGCGUUUAUGCCUCCUAGUAGUAAGAAAAGCAUUAUGAACAUGUAAGGUAGAAAUCAACGAUAUGGAUAUUAAAGCAUUGAAAUGGAGGAAUCUUCAUCGAUCAUAUCAGAAAACGAAUUAUAUGAGCCGUGUUUAGACUAACUUUGUACCGGUAUUACUUGACAUUCCGACAAGUGGUCAUGGAAAGGAAUGUGAACGUCGAGCCAAAUAAUCUGGUGGCUAGGGUUGCAAACGAGUCGAGUCGAGUCGAAUUUUGGAUUAAUCGAGUCGAGUCUCGACUAAAUUUUACCAAAUUCGAACUCGAGCUCGAGCUUGACAAGCCGGCAAUUUAAAGCUCGAGCUCGACUCAACUCGAUUCGAGUCGAACUCAAAAAAAAAAUAAAAAAUAAUUAUUUUAUUUUUUAAAAAAUAAAUAAAAUAAUAUUUUUUUAAUAAAUAAUAAAAUAUUAAGGAUAUAUAUGUAAUUUUACUAUUAAAAGAAGAAAAUAAAAAUAUAUAUAUACUUAAAAUAAAAAAUAAAAAAUAAAAAAUAUUAUAUAUAUAUACACUCGAGCUCGAACUCGCAAGUCUAACGAGUUUAAUAUUUUGAGUUCGAGUUCAAGCUCGAUUUCGACUCGAGCCGCUCGCGAACGGCUUGAUUUGUUUGCAGCCUUAGGUGGGGAUAACAAACUGAUAAUCUGGUGGGGAUAACAAACUGAUGCCACGUCCAAACCUGCCAAAAGCAUUGCACCUCUAUUAUAGUAUUAUCCUUGUCGCCCCAACAAUUUCGGAGACCAGGCAUCUCAAAGUUGAGUUUUGUCUCUUACAAAUUAGUUUACACGAUUCUUAUUACAUUUAGUGUAAAUUCGUCCCAUAAUGACUUGUCCUAGGUCACUAAAGACUUAUUCUUGAUUGAUUACUUUAGCUAUAUAUUUAUGGAUUCUGACGUUAGAUAAUCAGUUUUUGUGAUUUUUUUUAUUUUAAUUAUACAAAUUUUAUUUUUUAUUAAAAAAACUAAAAUUCAUAAUCAAUCAAAAAAAUAAAUUUUACUAAUAUUCUCAUUAUUCUCUAUCGUCAUUUUUUUAAUCUUAAAUCUGAUUUUGUAAUAUCUGAAACGAAGCAGCAUUAGUAUGAAUUUAAUAUUUUGGUUCCAAUAUCUUCGAAUGUCCUCUUGAAGGAAGGGACAGUAUUUUGGUUCAAAUCAAAUAUAUUCUCGUACUGGCAAUAAGAGACGGUGCUCUUAGUCUUAACAUUGAUUCGGACUAAAACCAAUCAACUUAUUGGUAAGGUCGUAAGUGACCGCGCAUCCCUUGCUGCUGUAUGUUCCCAAUUAUUGACACGCGUUCCGUAGUGCCGGUAAAAGCCAAACAAUGCUUGCCUCUGGUAUCAACACGAACCAAAUAAUUUGCAGGCCUCAGCGACAGCGUUUUGCCCCCGUGGAAUUCAAACGACAUCGUUGGAUAGCCAUCUUUGUGCUCAGAUGAUAGAUCAUAGCAAGUGUCAAAUUUAACAAGACCAUCGUCGAACCCACUCAUGGGAGGCAAGGCUCGAGCGUACUUAACAAACGUAUCGCGGAACGAGUUAUAAACCUGAGUUGGGAACUCAGUUAUCGUGGUGCCCGAGUCAAUUAUGAUUCCCCCACCUCCAUCUUGGUCUAUUUGAUAAUCUGAUGGCGGAAUGGAUACUUUUUCUCCAUUAAUAGUGACCCCCGUGAGUUCCACGUAAUAAUAAACCUGAAUUAUUGGGUUAAUUAUCAAGGGAACGAAGACUGAGUCCCCGGGUGGAGCUGAGUUAAACUCAAGACUCGAGGACGAGUUCGAGUCCAUAUCCACAAGGCAGUAGGAGAACGACGUGGCUCUAAUUUGAGAAGGAAAGCCUACAGGGGUGCCCCCAAGGCCAAGUAUCCCAGCUGCCCCACCAAACCCGCCCUGAUUCGCAUGCCCGCACCGAUGGCUACCUUAUCAGCCGAACCCGAACUCGAAACGACACCGUUUCGGUGGCGAAUUCUCCCGUAGUACUGGAGUUAUCUCCGUAGGACGCUUCAUACGUACACGGGUCGGCUUUGCCAAUUUGGUUCGUGCCCAGGGAGGUACACUCCUGCGAUGCACAGGAUAAAGGACAUAAGAUGAAGACCCGAAUGGGUCAAAGAACGGGUCGGAUUGGUUAAAGCAUGCAUCGGCGGCAGGCAUUGGAGCCAGGUGAUUUGGCUACCCGUAUCGGCUAUGAGGUGGAAUUCUUUCACGGGUUGACCCACUCCGAUCCAAGCUAAGUACCUCCCUCAGAAUGAGUCAGUGGAGCUUCGAGGUCCUCCGGCUGGACUUGUACGUCCCAUUUAACAGCAUGAGGGUGGUUGAAGCUAGAGACAGCCCGUUCGAUGUUGGAGUUGAUCAGAGGCGGAGGGAAGGGGGGCCAGGGGGGCAACCGCCCGCCUCUCCAAUUGUUAAAAAAAAAAAUUCUAAGUAAAAAAAAUUUUUAUUAUAUUGUUUUGCCCCCCAAAUAUUGAUAAAAAUUUUCACUUUGCCCCCUCCAAUUGUUAUAAAAAAAAUUCUAAGUAAAAUAAUUUUUAUUAUAUUGUUUGCCCCCCCCAAAUAUUGAUAAAAAAUUUCACUUUGCCCCCUCUCAAGGACUCAAACAAUAAUAUUUUAAAGUUAUUUGGACCAAGUCCAAAUAACAGAGACUCGCCCCCCUAAUUGCAAUUCCUAACUCCGCCACUGGAGUUGAUGACCUUGGCUCGGGCUCGGCUCACUCGCGAGUCGGGAGAGUACGAGGUCGAGUAGUUGUCGUUAUUGGCGGCUUUAUGAUGGAGGAAUGAGGAUGUAGGGAGAGUGACAAGACGGAGGAGGUUGAGCUAGGCUGAGUUUUUUCUGUUGAGAAGAGUUGAAGCCUCUUGAAACUGAAGCAGAGACAACUUGAGGUGAAAAAGGACUGAGGGUUAAGGAGAAGAAGGAGAGGAUGAUGAAGAUGUUAACGGAAGGAAAUGGCCUUUGACCUUCUCGAGCCAUGUUUGUUGGUUUUGGUGAUGAGAAGUUUGGGAGAUGUGAGCAUGGGUUUAUAUGCACGUCGAUCUGCAUGGGGGUUGGUAAGAUGAAGUUGCGUUCACAUUCUUUUGUUUUAGGACACAACUAACGGAUCCGGAUAAGUUCAAAUGUUCGAUUACAGUAAAACUUUGGUUUUUCUUUAUUACAUUUUUUGUUUCCAAUAUGAUUCUGUUCUACCCUAUUCCAUUUUUUAUUAUAUUAUUAUUUUUUCUUCACAAAAAUUAUAUGUUAAUUCUUUUUAAUUUUCUUACUAUCAAAUAACAACUAACUGACGCAUACAAAUGGUUUUCGAGGGGUUGUGCAAGUGUGUGGCUCGACUGCAGGGUUACUGUGACUUCUUUUUUCCUGUAAUCACGCCUUUGUUAUCUAAAGUUAAGUGGGCUGUGGAUUAAUGCAAUUGCUAAUAAUUUUUCAUAAAGCAAUAUUCUUUAAGGGCUUUGCAUGCAAAUUUUGUCCCUAAAGAGGUGCGGGACACAAGAUGCGGCUCUUUAAGCUCACAAGCUCAGGCAUAUGGACCAGGUCCAUAUAAAAAAGUUUCCUGUGCAAUAUUCGAGAGGCUUUUCUAUAACAUAACCAAGUUUUCCUUUUAUAAAUAAGGAAUUUUGGAAUUUCAUUUUUUUUUCCUUUUAUAUACAAGCUCGGGCUGUUUAUAGAGUUUUUGACCAAAAGAUUGUUAUUCAUAAAAGUUUUGAAAUUGAAAAAACAGUUGAGAAAAAGAAACGAAAAAACGCUGAGUUUGUUUGGAUAAGAGUUUAUUUGGAUGAUUUAUUUGAGAUAUUUACUGUAGCACUUUUUAUGAUGUGAUGUAUGUGAGAUAAAAAAGUGAUUGGAAGAUAAAAAGGUGAUUGGGAUUUUGUGAGAAUAAAUUUUGCAAAUCAAAUUAUCUUUGUCCAAACAAACUCGCUGUUUCGUGGGAACUUCUUGCCCGAGGAUCAUUUAUGCUUGCUGCAAAGAUAAUUUGGUUGAUGACUUGAUUUUUCAAGAAAAACUAUUCACACAAUAAAAAGUGCGUGCGAUUAUGCACAACUAGUGACAAAAGGAGAAGCCCAUGCACGAGAUUUAGGGCCUGUUUGGAACCUAAGUUUUUGGGAGUUUGUCUAAAACUUUGUAGUGUGUAGAAGUUUUUGAAAAAUUUUGUUAGAAUGUUAAGGUGAAAAACUUUUUUAUAGAAGUUUUUUGUAAGAUAAAAAUUUUGUAAAAAUUUUUGUAGGGUGAAUUUUUUUUUUCCUUUUCUUUUUUUUCUUUCUUUCUUUUUUUCUCCUCUUUCUUUUUUUUUCCCUUUCUUUUCUUUCCUCUCUUUCUUUUUCUUCUUCUUCCUUCCCCUUCCGCCACCCCUCUCCUCCCUUUCCCCUUCUCCUCUUCUCUGCAUUUCCCCGCCAGCCCCCUUCCCCUCCUCUCUGUACGCCAUCCUCUCUGCCCGCCACCCCCUCCCCCCGCCGCCCUUCCCCGCUCAGUUCCCUCUGCCCCUUCCCCCGCCAGUCCCUCCCUUUCCCCUCCCCUCUGCCCUAACCACCCUCCCCUCGCCAGCCCUUCCCCCGCUGCCAAUCCCUCUGCCCCUUCCCCAUCCCCUCUGCCCCGCCACCCCCCCCCUGCCAGCCCUUUCCCCGCUGCCACGCCACCCCCUUCCCCUACUGCCGCGCCACCCCGUCUACCCUUCCUCUCCCCUCUGCAUGCACCCCCUCUGCCCGCCACCCCCUUCCCCGCCAGCCCUUUCCCUCCGCUAGCCCUCUGUCCUGCCUCUUCCCUUCCCUGUGCCCUUCCUCGCUGCCCGGCCACCCCCUCCCACCACCUCCCUGCCCCUUCCCUCCCAUCUGCACGCACCCCCUCUGCCCCGCCACCCCCUCCAGUUUCCCCUCCCUUGUUUCCCUUCCCAUUUCCCGUUUCCGCCACCCCCCUUCCUUGUUCCCCAUUUCCCCGUCAGCCAUAGCGUAGGAAAGUAACUACUGCUGCUGCAUAGUUCUGGGCUGUUUGGCUAGGGAGGGGGGGGGAGAGAGGGAGCGAAGGAGAGAGGAAGGGAGAAAGGAAGGAAAAAAAUUUUUGGGAACGCUGACGCGAAAUAGGUGGCCGGCGCUAGAAACGGCGGCGAGGGGUGGUGGCGGCGAUGAAAGUAUGGUGGAUGGGGUGGGGGAGAAAGAAGAAGAAAGAUAGAAGUUUUUUGUGUAUUAGAUAUUUUGAAGUGUGUGGGUUAAAAAAUUUGAUAAAUUUUUUUGGAUUCCUGUAGCUAAAGUUGUUAAAAAAUUUGUAGCUAAAAACUUGGGCAAAAAACUCACUUCCAAACAGGCCUUAGUUGCACUGCCAUUUUUCCAGGCUAAGGAAUAACUUGUAGGAUUCUAGACCAAGCUAGCUAGGAUUAAUUAGGACUAGAAGAAAUUGUUUCUUCCAUAAAUUCUAUGCAAAGAGCUCUCUAUACUAAGAAAAUUAUCUUUCUAGUUCGAUAGUUGGGGGGUUAUGGAGGUUUUGAUGGGUAUAAUUCUCCUUGAUGAGCAACUGACAAAUUAUGACGAAUAUAAUGGAGAGUUUUCUUCUUGUAGAUAUACCUAAAUUGACACGACCGAGUAUGGUGGUUCAUUUUGCUAGAAAAGGUAACUCAAGUAUUAAAUCAACAAAAACAAUCAAGACUUAACAUAACUCGCCAAAUACUUGGAUAGACUUGGUCCACCCACAAGAUUAUAGACCAUGUGACCAUAAACAUCGCUAUAUCACUUCUUUGUGGAAGAUUGUAAAGCAAAAGGGUAACAUGAAUUAUUUAUGUUUACAAGGCCUAUUUUCAAGUGGUGGAUGGGGUCUAUGCAAGUCUUUGAUAAUUUACUUUAAAUUAAAAUGAAGACAGCAAGCUCUUGAGCUAUCAACAAUGUUUAGGGACAUGGAGUCCUACGAAAUGCCAAGGCAAGUAUUUGGAUAAAUCUGAUCUACUAACAAGGUUGUACACCAUGCGACCAUAAACAUCUCCACUUACCAAUGCCUAAAAAACUUUGCCAAAUAGCAAAUUGGCAAUGCCUAAAAAAUUUGUUUGGGCUGAAACCAAUCAGCCUUGCUAUGUUACAUGCAAGUAGUGUUUUGCUAGCAAUUAUCUGGGGCCCGAAACAACGAGCCCAACUAUAAAAUCUUUUCAUAAAAUUUCUUCUUCAAGUCAUAGUGACUAACAAACUGUUUCAAUUGCAAUUUUUUCUAGUUUGUAAAAAAAAAUAUAUUAUAUAUAUAUAUAUAUAUAUAUAUAUAUAUAUAUAUAUAUAUUGCAAUGAUUCGACGUAAAUGAGAUACAAAAUAUAAAAAAUUAUGUUCACAAGAAACGUAAAAAUAUUUUAGAAUAAAGUCGAAAUCCAAACAAGGCCAAAUUUUUUUUUUUUUUUUUGAAGGAAAGGCCAAAGUUAACUGAUAAAAAGAACUCGAUUGAUGGAACUUUUAAUAAGAAAAGCAUUAUGAGCAUGAUUGGCUGAGAUUGACAAUAACGGUACUCUAGCAUCUAUCUACCCAUCAAUAAUCAGAGAGCAAUAUUCAUCAUCAAAUCAGAAAAGAAUGAUUUGACCGUGCUUGCACUAACUUUGUACCGGUACUUCUUGACAUUCCGACAAGUGGACUUGAAAAAGUAACGUGAACUUCGGGCCAAGUCAUCUGAAGGCGAUAACGAACUGACGCGAUGUCCAAACCAAAAGCGUUGGUCCGCCAUGAUCCCUGGUGCCCCAACAUUUGUCAUCUUUCCUUAGUGGUGGAUAUUUCGAUUGGCAAAUGUUCAAUUUGGAAUGCCAUAAUAAUCCAAGGGAGUUUAUUAUCUUUGAAAAUUUCCCAAGAUUACGAUAAAUUUAAUAUCAUUCUACCACAAUACUUUUAUUUAUUUAUUUAUUUUCGGCAUGUUAUAGAACAGAGUGUCCUAACUUGGUGAAUGCAAACUCCGAAGAUUGAGGAUAAUUUCUGCAGCAAAAAUGAUCGCGCAAAGGGUUGUAAGAAGUUGGUAAGCUAACAGUAUAAUUGGAUUUUCUUUGAUAUAUAUAUAUAUAUAUAUGUGUGUGUGUGUGUGUGUGUUGAUUGUUUUAUAGACAAAUAAAAAGAAAAGGAGAAACAAACUUUUUCUUUCAACGUUUCUGUAAGUACAAUUUUUUCUCCAUCGAUAAUAAUUAUGAUAAAGUGAAAGAAAUAAAAUAAGUACAAAUUUCAGAAUCAUGAAAGACAAGCUUACAUGAUGUGCAUCACGAAAAGCAAGCUUGCAUUUUCAUAUAAAACAACUUCCAUCCAUGAUGUGCAUCUCACAUUGUAGAUUUUAACGUGUGAAACUUUGACUUGCGACUUUCAAUUGCAUUUUCUCUUUUUCCAACCCUUGUGUAGUAGAAGAACAAAGGCACUGCAUGAUUUAUCCUCGAUAUAACGUGCAUGCAUUUGUCAAUCAUCAUCUUGAUGGUUGAUAAUCUUGAUUUCCUUUACUAAUCAGAUAUUUACGGAAGUUAAACAAAGACAAUCAAAUAUACAUAUUCUUAUUUUUUUUUCUCUCUUUUGUAUUUUUUCUUUCCCCUUUUUCCCUCCUUUGUUUUCUCUAUCUCUUUCUUCUUUCUUUACUUCUUUCGCUUUUCCACAAGAAGUCUCAUCUCAUUGAUUGAAUCUAAAAAAAGAAAUUGUAGAGAUCUAUCUCCACUUCGAAUGAUCACAAAUAUUCAUACCCCUUCCUCAAGACCAUUUUUUGAGCCUUCAAUUCUUUUGCUUUUUUUACUUCCUAUCCUAGCUUUUCAUUUUAUUCUCAAGAAACCAUCACAAGAUAAUUUUGUGACCUAAUAAAUGAUCAUUAAUUGCAAUUUACAACUCAUGGCAUCGUACGAAAAGAUCGAAACGUGGAUUUUGGGGAGAAGGGAAUUAGGCAGUGGAAUGGUGGAGAAGUUAUCUAGUGAUACAAAUGGCAAUAAAUGGUCAUCAAUAAGAUGAGGUAACUAUGUGACGGGUUUGUGCUCCUUAGAUAAAAUGAACUUUUUAGUUGAGAUGCAGGGAGGAGAAAAAAGAAAAAACCAAAAAAAAAAAACAAAUAAAGAAGGGGAAAAAAGGAAAAUCAAAAAUCAAAAUAACAAAAGGUUGAUUUUGUCCAUUAGAGGGUGAAAUGAUAAAAAUAAAAGUUUAGGGACAAAAUGAAAAGCGAGAUAUGCCUUAAGGGAUUAAUUGUAAUUAAUCCAAAUAUUAAAUUUUUUAGGUUUCACAAUCAAGUUGGACCCAGUUGCAUGAGUGGUGGGCAGCAAAUCACUGAAGCACCCCAAUCCGAAGAAAGAAAAUUGACAGCGGAAUCUUCUCUCUCUCUCUCUCUCUCUCUCUCUAUAUAUAUAUAUAUAUAUAUAUAUAUAUAUCUUUGUGUUAAGUGAGAUGGGAUGGAAUGCUCAGAAAAUGAUAAUCAAUCAGAGGAAAAUAGCCGAAAAAUCUCAACGUUCUUUGUCAAUUCCAUUUAGGGAAGCUAACGCCUAGUACAAGGAGUUUUUUUACGUAUCAGUAGUACUAAGUGUACUUUGACUACUUUCAUUAAUUUCAGAGGAACAUGCGACCUUCUUGCCGCUCUUCCUGAUCCACUAAAUUAAGCCCAGAGGAACAAAGAAGUACGUGACCUAUUUAAUUUUUUUUUUAUUUCCCCCUUUGGAAAUAAAUGGCUGGUGGCUCAGAUUUGAAACUGACAAUCUUUUCUUUUCUUUUUCUUUUUAUUUUUUUUUGGGUUCGGAAGCAAAAGACUAUAAUGACAACCUAGCUUAGAGUUUUUUUUUUUUUUGUCAUAAAACAAGUCUUUAAUUUUCUCAUUCUUCCUUUCUCGAUCUGCUGAAGAAGCUCUAGUGAGAUUAUUACUACCCAUAAAGCCAUAAACAUUUACUUUAUUCUUUUCAAAUUUAGUCUCUAUCGACCCCAUCUAGUCUGCAUAAUAGUUUCAUUCUUUUAAGGGAAGUAUAGGAAUUUAUGUGAUUCGAAAAAAAAACAGAGAGAGAGAGAGAGAAGAAAAGGAGUGAUCAAGGAAUCAAGCUCUUACAUCAAAAUAAUGCACUCCCAGAACAACAAAGAAAGCAGGUCCUACUAGUACGUACUGGGCAUCAUUUAAUUGGUUAAUGCUUCAAAAUCAUUUUAUUGGUUUUGAAAUAGUGGAGUGGGAUUUAGGGGAUGCAUCCCCAAUAAUUCAAUCUCUAAGUUUUAGGUCCCAUUACUUCACUAAAAAUACACUAGUAGUAGUGACAGCAACGAAGAAAGGGACAGACAUUAGAAAAGAACAGAAAUAGGGCGUAGAUAAAUGGGCAUCCAUCCACCUUCGGUGAUAACAACACUUGCACAUGCACAGAUUUGCAGGUUGAUAAAUAAGCAAUAUGACAAUAGCUCUCUCUCUCUCUCUCAGCCAAGAAAGCAUUUUCAUAACCUGCAAAUUCUUAUUCUUAAUCAGUCAACUCCCUUUAUCCUGUCUCUAUGUGUAAUUCUAUGAUAGAUUCAAUGAUUUUUCAUAUACUGAGAAAUGUUCUGCAGAUUAAUAACGCCAAUCAAGAUUUGCCAGUCAGUAAAGAAAUAUGCUCUUCUCCCUUUCUGUUCUGUUAAUCACAGCUCACUAGAUUCUGUUGCAGACAAAUUCUGCAACCAAGCAUACGAAGCCUCCGGUACCAAGUUCGCACCACUUUUUCAAGUCAUUUCGUUCUUUCCUUUUCUUUCUUUUCCCUGCUUUAAAGUGAGGUAACCAUACCAACUAAUCAAUGGAGUUGGUCCAAUUAAUGGUCAGGAAAGGGCUCUUAGAGUUUUUCCUGCUGUCUCUCUGGUUCAGAGUUUGAAUCUUGUGUACGUGGCAAUAGAGGUGGAGAGACUAUUGUUUUCUUGGCGCCAUUCUGGGCGAUCAAAAGUUCUGGGAUAUGAUCAAGAAAGAAAGGUGACACAGACAAAAAGAGUAUAUUGAAUCAUUUGCCUUCCACUACAAAGCUAUAGUACUAAACAGGUACCUUUGAGAACAAUGAUAUAGUAUAUGUUAAAGGAGUAUUGGAGAAUAAUAACGACAUCCACAUACUCACCAAUCCUGCUGCAGAUUUUAAACAUCAUAGGAAUGCUAUUAUUAGGUAAUGCAUCGCUAUCAAUUCACGUGAACUCUCCCUCACAAAAAACACAAAUACAAACAUCUCGAAAGAAAAGCUGAAUGCAUGAAUGCAAUUCAUUGUACCAAGUUGCUGUGGCGUACACAAUAAUACAAUAUUGUGUACAAAAAUCUAUAUAUAUAUAUAUAUGGUUAUCAGAAGUCCUUGUCUUCUUUUUCCAUCACUGUCCUGUGUCCAUAUUAGAGAUUAGCAAAGCAAAAGUUGUAGGCCUGGUGGUCACCACCAGUCUUGGUAGAGACCCUUGAUCUCCCACUAACUACCACUUUAUGUGACAGACUGACUUAAUUAGCUUUCUUCGAUGAGAUCUCGGACUCACGUUGAGUCCCUCUCCCUUUCCUCUAAAUUAGGUUAUAAAAAUUUUACCGUUUUAAAAAAAAAAACAAUGACACAAUCACACUAGUCUUGGAUGUGUCAUAGAAUCUAUUACAAGGAUGGAGAAUUAUAAUAAUAAUAAUAAUGGCACAAUCGCAAAGUUGAGGGAAAGCUUUAUUAUUAUUUUUUCUUCCAUUUUGAUUCUUUUGCUUAAGAGGUCCGAAAUCUCAACAGUACAUCAGUAAUUUUUAUGAGCACGAGGGAAAAGAGAUUUUUCAAGUAGCAUGAAGAUUAAGGUAAGCUUAGGCCAAAACAAGUGAAUGGUGUAAAUGUUGGGAAUCUAUUCUCUUGCGUAUUCUUCUCUAAUUUAAACAACAAAGCAAUUUCUCUUCUGCAAUCAAAUUUUUUGUGCAUUUGCAAAUCAAGCAACUACACUGAGGCGAGGAACUACAAAAUUUAUAACUUGCAGUAUUAAUUUCAUAGGUGGAAAUGGUGGGACCAUUUCCAUCCACCACUGGUCCAUCAACAUUUACACACAAUUAAUGUCCACCCAUACUAACAAUUAAAGUAUGUAUACUCCUCCCCCACUCCUCACAGUUUUCCAACUUUAAUUCUGGAAAGCUUUUUCUUUUUUUUUUUUUUUUUUUUUGGGUAAACCUUAAAUCUGCAAUUACCAGCUUAUAAUUACGAUUGAAAUUUAAACACUAAAUAUUUGCACCAAAUGUACUACUAACAUUUAUUGGGGCUAAAACCAAACUGCCUGUUAGCCAGGUCGAAACUGACACGUGUCCCUUGCUGCUGCACAUUACCGAUAAUGGACAGUGAACUCGUCGGAGCAAAUGCCAAACAAAAUUUCCCCCGCCCAUCAACCGGCACCAAGUAAUUACUCGGCUUCAAUGACAGCCUCUUCCCACUCGCAAACAAAAGACACCGUUGGAACCCUCACCGAACCGCCGACUGAUGAAAAAUCAUAACACGUGUCGAACAAAGAGAACCCACUGGACGAAGGCAAAUCUGAUGCGUACUUCUUAAACGCAUCGCGCAGCGCGUUAUACGCCUGUGUAUUCAACCGAGUCACAGCCGUUCCCGAGUCAACUAUAAUCCUCCGCGCCCAUUUCCGUCCACCUGGAAAACCGACGCCGGAAUCGAUAGAGUCUCGCCGCCGACAUUUAUCCGACCAUGUCCAGUAAUAAAAUAGAUCCAGUUUGGGUUUCUAACCAUCGAAGCAAAGACUGAGUCACCGGGUGGGGCUGAGUUAAAAUCCAGAGUCGAAGACGAGCUGGAGUCGCGGUUCACUAAACAGUAAGAAAACGACGUCGCUCUCAGUCGGCCAGGCAAUGAUAAAGGGGCUCGAGCCAGUCCAACUAAGCCAGCCGCACCAACAAACAAGCCCACAUUAUCAUGCCCGCAUCCGAUGGGUACGUCACUACCGAACCCGAGUUCCCAAACGACACCGUAUCAGUAGCUAAAUCCCCCAUCGUGUAGGACCCAUCCCCGUAAUUAAUCUGAUAAAUACACUUCCCAUCACUACACCCUGAAAUCUGGAGCUGCGAGCAUUCCUGUGCGGAGCAAGAAACGGUUCGGUAAGUCGAUGACGAACUCGGGUCGAAUAUCGGGUCGGUUUGUUGGUAGCAGUCGGCGCAGGGCUGGCAUUGGAGCCAGCUGAGGUCGCUUCCGGUGUCGAUAACCAUGUAGUAUGAUCUGCCUGGUCGACCCACGCCCAUACGGGCAAAGUACUCUCCGCUUCCCUGACUUACCCCGGAAGUUAACGGCGUCUCCAGGUCCUCCGGUUGGACGGCGGUCGGAACCGGUUUGAGGUCCGCUUGGGUGUAGCCGGAGAGAGCGAACUCGAGCUUGGAGUUGAGAGAGUUAACUUGGGCCGAGUCACGGGCGAUACGGGCGCGCGUGAGGGAAGAAUAAUCUUUGUGCUGCGGUUUUUUCACGGAAGCCCUUGGGUGCAGUGAAAAUGAGAGAACCGAAGAGUUAUGUUGUGCGGUGGCAGUGAUGGUAGGCUUAGCUUCUUCUUCCUGCUGGGCUUGUGGGGUUUGAGUGAAAACUUGAUGGGUUUUUUGGAUAACGGCUGAAACAUCAAAAAUUUGGUAGCUGUUGUGUUGAUGAUCACGAAUGGAAUUCGAAACAGAGGUAAAGGAAAGCAAGAGAGCGAGAACUAAGAAGAAGGAGAGAAUGGGGCUUGGAGUUUGAGCCAUGUAGUCGUCGUUGUUGUGUUCUUGAUAGGUUCAGAGGAGUGAGUUAAAGUGAGAGCUGGGAAUGGGGCUUAAGUAAAGGACGUAAGGCAAAGGAGGGGCAGGGAAAGGACGGGGAAGGGUUGGGGGGUCCUCAGGUCAGGGUUGUUUCCUGUUGAGGAUGAGAACAAGAGGAGCAUUUAAAGUUUGAAAGAAGCAUGAAACCCGCUCUCUAAAGUUAAUCCUCUUGACAUUUUCCUUUUUCUUUUCUUUUUCAGGAGUUUGGGUAUUGGUGGCAAUGCAUGGAUUGGGCUUGGUUAACGCAAUGGAUUAAUUUUCAUUCAUUUUUCGACCUUGAUUAUAGUAGUAUUUUAGCUUUCGAGUUUGGAUGUUUGAUUAGGAAAUCAACUUGUUGAUUUUAAAGUGUGGCUAGUACGUCCAGUAACAGAUCCGAGAUCUAACUGUUUGGAUAGGAUAUUAUUUGAAACAUUAUUUAGCAUAAUUACUGUAAUAUUGUUUGUGAUGUGAUGUAUGUGGGAUAAAAAGGUGAUUGAAAAUAUAAAAAGAUGUGUUGAAAAAUAUGUUUAUGAUGAAAGCAAAAUAUUAUUAUUUGAGAUAAUUUCACUAUCCACCGGACAAACCAUUUGUUAAUGAAGCCUCGUGCAAAGCUUGUCUUCUUGUUCUUUCGUGAUUUCUUGUGAAUCCCUUCUUGUUGUUUGCCUGGUUUUUUAUUUGUGCUGCAGAGAAACUCCAGAGUCGAAACUCCUGUUGUUUUAUUCACAUUCUUUCUUUUUGAGCUAUUCACAAUCUUUCUACUUGAUGCUUUUAUCUUUUUUCUUGUCGGUUGAGUGCAAAGAUGGUUGGUGCAAGUGAUCUCUCUUCCCUCUGUCUAUCUUUAAUUUUAUCUUAUUGUUAUAAAUGAUGGUGAUGCUUGACGGCUCUUUGCGUGGUGGUGGUGGCGAGUUCUCUGAAGCCACGAGAGAUUUUAGUGAAUGCCCAAGAGCAAUGGUUCAUUUGGUUUUGGAGGAAACUGACUCUCUAACUACUUUUGUUUCAUUAGAUAGAUCCACCUGUAUAGAGGCUGCAAGAUUGGUAGUUUGGGAAGUGAUUUGCUGUACUGCAGUUAAUGUAGUUAAUGUUGUUGAAUCUUUUGUGGUGUAAGAACUCUCCUCAGGGCACCCACGAACUGCGAGUGCUAAUGCCAAUUUGUUUGAUU